AAUGCCCAAGUUGAAUUCUUGGCACCGCAAUAAAAUAUCACAAAUUUAAAUUGAAUAUCUUUCUAGGAAAACCCAAAUCUGAAUUCAAAUCAAAAUCUCUCAAAAUAAAAGUGAAAAUGUUGAAAAGAGAAAAAAGAAAUACCUUGUUACCUGAUUUUGUUGGUAUUCUUGUCGAUGAUAAUAUCAAAAGCCAUGGUUGGAUUAGAGAGAGAAAGUUCCAAACAGAGGAAGAAAACGAGAUUUGAGAAGAGGGUGAAAAUCGAGUUUGUACAUUAUGUUGUUUCUAUUUUUGAUCUGAUCCGAGAAUUAUAUGUUUUUGUCCAGCAUUCGAUCUUGCUUCUAGGUCGUCCGCAACAUUGAUAGGUUACACUUUAGAUCCCCUAAAUCGAUCGAUCUCCAGGUCAACAUUGAUAGGUGAAGAAGAAGAAGAAGAAGAAGAAGAUUGGUGGUGCUAUGUUAAUUUUUAGAAAUCCG
rnacentral:lncRNA from 1 species